AAAAUUUACUAAUAGACCUCUUUCACGGUGCGGAUAGCAGGAUUCCUGUAGUCCGGCAACGGCGCAAUCCUCCAUUGUUUUUCCAACCCCACCCUGUUUUGCUGGGAUUUCAAUAGGUAAACAAGUUUAGCAUUAAAAAUUCUCCUCUCUGUGAAAUUUUGCUGUGUUUCAGUGCAUUGGAUAACUAGCACCAUCAUCUGGGGCUAUCCAAAUGUAAACAAGAAAAUUCAAAACAACACUAAAUGCAGCAGUUGGGAACCGGUUACCACUUCUUCGGCAGGGAUAGGAGAAUUGGGUGAAGGUGGUGUUGGAUUGAACGAAGCUGAUUUUUCCGAACCUCCCACAUAACACAAGGCAGUCCGUCGGAUGUCCGACAGAUGUCGGGGUCGGAUGUUGAGUACAUCUUUUUGAUAUCCUCCGGACAGCCCGAUAUCCGAUUUGGAUGUCCUAUGGAUG